ACACUCGGUGUCAGCCUCUGAGGCCAUGGAGCCACGCAGACCCAGCACAGGAUUAGAAACAGACCUUCCCGGGAGGCAGAGAGCCAGGCCUCCUGGUUUAUAGCAUGACAAGGCAGCACUCAGGAGGACGCAUCAAUCCUUCUCCAUGUCAGCACCUGUGACUGUGACCACUGGUGAGGUGGACAUGCUUCUUUUUCCAUUUUACAGAUGAGGAAACUGAGGCCAAGGGAGGGUCAGCAGCCUGCCCUGGGCUGACUGGUGAUGCAGCGAGGGUGGGGUGUGGGAGGGUGGCGGCGGCCCUUGCAGUCCCUGGGAACCUGCACCUCUUCCUGGGCGCUGUUCCCCUCUCUCUCCCAGGACCCUUGGGCCUGGCGUUUCUUCACCUGCGACCAUCCAGGAGCUGGACCUGCCCUAGGGCGUCAGUUUCCAGGGAAGCCUCUGGCCUGUGUGUGAGCCUCCCCACCUGCCCGGCCACGGCCUCCACAGGCGCCCUGCGCAGCCCCGCCCCUCCUGGGGCAAAGGCUUUGCGAAGACUUUCUUCUCUGGCUCAUCCCUUUAAGGAGGCAUAAAAACGAACCCCGGGCCUCACAGGUCCGGAAUGCGCCCCCCUCCACGAUGGGAGCUUCUUGGCCUUGGCUGUGCAGGGGCCGCGGCUCCUGGGGGUCUGGCCGGAUCUGCAGUAGUGCUGAAUGAGCUGUGGCCAGGAAGACGCAAUGAAUAAUUGUCACUUAAAAGGAUAAACAGAAAUUCCAUUUCCCUUUUAAAUACUUGAACAUUUCAAAACAUCUGGAGGACGCGAUGCUUUUCCUUCCAAGCAUCUCCGUGGAGUUUUGUGGGUUACCGCAGAGGAUCGGCAGCAUUCCUCUCUCAGGGAAAACUGGCCUGAGCAUUGCAUAACGCAGGCAGACUGCACCCCUCACGUCGCCUGGGGCCACAUGCACAUGUUUCCAAGAGACUUGCUGGAGAAUCUUCCCCGGAUCUUGACAAAGUUGGACAUGGAAAGCACGUUGGUCCAUCCAAGGUCCACAGAGCGACCCUGGCUAUGAAAAAUCAUCCUCCGAGUGGGAGUCUGUCUGCCAGGAGUGAGGUGACACCGCACAUGGCCUCAGGAGCUGGAAACGCUGGUGAAUUCAGAUGCAGCCAAAGCUUCUAACUUAGUCACAGUUAUUAAUUAUUCUUGGUCUUAUUGGAGCAGGAACCACUGCCAUGCAUCAGGCCAGCAAGGCUCACUCCCCACCGUAGGAUCCCUGUGUAGACGGUCGCUCCAUCAGUGUAGUUGGGUGUGUGGAGCAAGGGACUGGGCUGACCCUACCUUCCAAGCAUCGAUGUGGCCUUCAGCAGAGCAGGAGGAGAUAGCCCAGGACUUGUACUUUGCAGUUGAAGUGCCAGACCUAAGAAAUGCAAACCUGAGGAUGGAAAGAGGGUGGAGAGGGGGGAGGUGUCUGGAUUGGCCGUCCAGAGCAGCCCCAGCUGCAGCAAGUGGAACUUGGCUGGCUGCCUCACAGGCCUGGUGGCAGCGUCCCCAGCGAGGAGCCUGUCCCACAUAUGAAGGUCCCCAUACCCUUAGCCCCUAGCUGAGAGUUUCACUGACCAGAGCUCCCUGAGUCCAGGGCUCCACUCAAGGGACUGCUGUCCCCGUUGGUGAAGAAGGCCUGUUGGGGCCAAUGCUUCCCCCCACAGGGAAGCGGAGCUGUAUUUUGUCGGACAGAACUUUGCAAGCCUGAAACAGCUGGUGGUGGCCCCAGAGCCAAGAUCUGACCUCACUCCAGAGUUGAAGGGCACAGAGAAGGCACAGCUAGAGGCGGCAGGUACCCCUCAAAGCUCUCGGGAGAGGGUACAAAGUGGGACCUCCCAGCACCCUUGGCCUCCAGGCCUCAAAAGCCCUGAGAGGGCUGCAUGCAAGGAGACAAAGCUGGAGAAGGAUGUGGGAGGCAGGUGGCUAAGAAGACAGGCUGGAAAGGGACGUGGGAGGUAGGUGGCUUUGCUCUAAACAGAAUCGUCUCAGUAAUGUGACACUGCACAUGUAUAGGUAGGCUCGCUCAUGGGCAUAACCCUCUAAAACACACCUUUUAUGGAGUGAAAUUCACUUAACAGCCAUCUUGAAGCAUAUACUUCGGCGGCAUUUGCUGGAUUCACGACGUUGUGCAACCUCUGCUUCUCCAGUUUCAGAACAUUUCAUCCCUCCAGAACAACAGCUCAUCCCCAUUAAGUAAUCACUCCUCAUUCCUUCCCCAUCCUCUGGAAACCACAGAUCUGCUUUCUGUCUCUAUGGAUUUGUCCGUUUUGGAUAUUUCAUAUAAAAGGAAUCACGCGGUGUGCGAA
rnacentral:lncRNA from 1 species